rnacentral:rRNA from 1 species
AACGAACGCUGGCGGCAGGCCUAACACAUGCAAGUCGAACGCCCCUUCGGGGGAGUGGCGCACGGGUGCGUAACGCGUGGGAAUAUGCCCUUGAGUAAGGAAUAACUGCUGGAAACGGUAGCUAAUACCUUAUAAUGACUCCGGUCCAAAGAUUUAUCGCUCAAGGAUUAGCCCGCGUCAGAUUAGAUAGUUGGUGAGGUAAAAGCUCACCAAGUCGACGAUCUGUAGGGGGUCUGAGAGGAUGAUCCCCCACACUGGUACUGAGACACGGACCAGACUCCUACGGGAGGCAGCAGUGAGGAAUAUUGGACAAUGGAGGAAACUCUGAUCCAGCCAUGCCGCGUGAGUG